UGUGCGAGCUGCAGGGUGUGGUGGAACGCGCUUAGGACGCCGACCGACAAGCGGCCGUAGAUCUGCUCCAGGAUCAUCUCCGUACAGAACGGAGUCUAGACCAAAGGUACCGAAUGGACCAAAUGCAGGAUGUGACGUGACGAGGUACGACCCCUAAACACCAGGUGACAACACGAAACAAAGCCAAGGGGCACUGCGUGAAAAGCCCUGCACAUGGCCUCUUGCUCUACAACACUGCAGGGCUUUGUGUCAGCUUGGACACCUCAGCACCAAAGUGUGAGAACACAGGCAGAAAAUGCUACUGACAUGAAGGAGUGCGAGUGUCCUGUGAGGUCCCCUGCCAAGAACUCGGGAGACGUGACAAACAAGGAAGGAAGCGAGAGAGAUCAAAGACGAAGCGAAGGAACACAAGAACGUGUUCUCUCCCUUCUUAUAUCUGCGGCACAGGGAUCAGGAUCACCGAGAGCUACACCAACAGCCGUUUUAUGUAGAGCCCCUGACUGGAAACAAAGGACCCAAUCCUGCAUUUGUCUUUUAUGUUUUCCCUUGAUGUCCACUUACCACAUUUGUAUGACUUUGUUCUAAAAACCAGUCACAAGUCUUUGUACAAUGUCUCUUUAUCCUUUAGAGUUAAACAGGCUGUUUCUGUUACUGUGCCUUUAGGACAAAUAUAAGAUAAAUGAGCGCUAUUCUAAUUGGCUGCCCUGUAUUGUGCCUCAAUUAAAAAGCACUCAGAGCUGAAAUGCGCCUGAAAAUUACAACACUAAACUACUGCAGGCUGAACAGGCAGAGAUAUGUAAAUAUUGUUCUCAUAACCUCGAAGAAACAGUGAGUGCAUUUACAUGCACAUAAUAAUCCAUAAUCAGAGAUCUCCAGUUAUUGGAUUAUUCGAGUUGUCAUGUGAACAGCACACUCCACAUAUGGCCUAGAGAUCAGAUUAAGAAAUGUGAUUAAGAUCUGGAUUUUGGCUCAGUAAUCUGAUUUCUCAGUGCAUGUAUACCCUUACUCUAAUUUCUUUCACAUUUCUGAGUCUGCGCAUGCAUUGCAAACGUAACAAGACAGAAUGUAGAGUUGUCCCGGUAGCGGCUAGCAGAAUUAAACGCAGCACCCGCUCGUAGAAACAAAAACAAAAAAACCCAGCUUUUUACCGUCAUUGCAUCAACAUAGACAAAGCUGCAAAAAAGGGCAGCAUUAUGCACUAUUAAUAAUCAUAAAAAGAUGAAGAUUCAUAUUUGCCAGUAAAGUGAGUCUAUGUUUAUAAGUACUGGUUUUAACAAACUAAUAAUAUCACCUUUUGCAAUCUCUCCAACAGACUGAGAAUGAAAGGUAAACACAACCCCUCUAUAGGAGCUUCAGGUUAAUGGUAGAAUAGUAAAUUGAAGAUGUAUUGAUAUAUUAAGCAAGAAGCUGAUGGAACGUAGAGGGAACUCAGACUAUACACCAAGCCUGACAGUAAUGAACUACCAAAGGUUUCUCCAAAUAACGACCUCUAAUGUUUUGGGUUAAAUGCAUCUCUUAAAAUUAUCCUUUUGUAUCUGAACUAGUCAUGCAUCCUCAUGGGACAUCAGAUGUGGAUAACAUGCAUAUUUCCUAGUUUAUCAUCAUCAUCCAAAUGUUCUUUUAAAGAGGAAAAACAAUAACAUUGUUCAUCUUCAUCCCCCUACCAGCCAAGAUAGCUACAAACCUGGCGUUUCCCUUUCAAAUACAAAUUACUAAAUGCUAAAUGCUAUGAGAUUAAAAUACUGGAAUACCAGCUGAGUGACUCAGAGCUACUGGACUGUUUUGAUAAUCAAACUUUGGAUAAAUUGGGAAUGUGGAACUGUCAAUUCAAUCGGAGAAGAAAAUACCCAUAGCCACCUUGCAGCCUGUUGGCAGAAGCAUAUUUUGACUGGAAGACAUUCAGGAGGUAGGAAAUGAUUAAUUAGCGAUUUCUGGUGAGCCUCAAAUGAUUACCUGUUAUUUGAGGACUACAGCUUGUAGUGUGCACUAGGUAAACACUGCCCACUGAGAUUUAGAUACCGACCUCGUCAUCCAGUUAGAAUCAUUUAUACACUAUGAAGACUGAGGUUGCUGCUCUGAAACUGAUCUGGAGAUCCUGGAGGACUCUGCGUGUCCAAUGAAGAAAA